rnacentral:tRNA from 2 species
GCCCGGGUGGAGGAACGGCAGACUCGGCGGACUCAAAAUUCGCUGCCCGCGAGGGCGUGUGGGUUCGAAUCCCACCCCGGGCA